rnacentral:rRNA from 1 species
GAUGAACGCUGGCGGCGUGCUUAACACAUGCAAGUCGAACGAUGAAGGGAGCUUGCUCCUGGAUUAGUGGCGAACGGGUGAGUAACACGUGAGUAACCUGCCCUUGACUCUGGGAUAAGCGCUGGAAACGGCGUCUAAUACUGGAUAUGUGACGUGGCCGCAUGGUCUGCGUCUGGAAAGAAUUUCGGUUGGGGAUGGGCUCGCGGCCUAUCAGCUUGUUGGUGAGGUAAUGGCUCACCAAGGCGUCGACGGGUAGCCGGCCUGAGAGGGUGACCGGCCACACUGGGACUGAGACACGGCCCAGACUCCUACGGGAGGCAGCAGUGGGGAAUAUUGCACAAUGGGCGAAAGCCUGAUGCAGCAACGCCGCGUGAGGGAUGACGGCCUUCGGGUUGUAAACCUCUUUUAGCAGGGAAGAAGCGAAAGUGACGGUACCUGCAGAAAAAGCGCCGGCUAACUACGUGCCAGCAGCCGCCGUAAAAC